UGAGCUUUGGCAAACAAAGCUUGCUCAAUUGGGGCUGAGGGUCUACGUCGAACGAGUUAAGUUAUCUUUUUCGAGAAUCUGCUCCUUACGGCUCAGUGUCGCGAUCUAGCACUGACAUAGCCGACCUGCCACAUUCCGUGGGCAGCAAUAAGGAGAUCUACGAUGGCCAAUGGCACCGUAAAAUGGUUCAAUUCUGCAAAAGGUUUUGGGUUUAUAGCCCCUGAAGGCGGCAGCAAGGAUGUGUUUGUGCACAUCUCAGCGGUCGAGCAAGCUGGUCUGACCGGCUUGAAUGACGAUCAAAAAGUUACCUUCGAUAUUGAGUCCGGCCGCGAUGGUCGCGAAAACGCAGCCAAUCUAGCAUUGGCUUGA
rnacentral:misc_RNA from 1 species